CUGCAAGAACCUGAAAUAGAACAAGAAACAUCACUGCUCCAAGAAUUUCCCAACAACAAAUCUUUAUGAACGACAUAAAAAUAACCAAAAAGUAAAAUGCCAUUUUCAUUACAUUUCAAUAUAUAUUUUAUGGUCACUUAACUGACUCCUUCCCAGGGGCUUCUUUUUCAGGACCUGAUCCAAUGGCCAUCAAAGUCAAUGGGAUUCUUUCCAUUGACUCCAGUGAAUUUUGGAUUAGGACCUAAAUAGCCAACCAUACCAAGUGUUAUGUCUAGUAUAAGGUCUCAAUCCAGCAAAGCACAUAUGCAAGUGCUUAACUUGACUAUUAAGCAUAUUAAUAGUCCAACUGACGUUAAUAGGACUGCCCAGGUGCUUAAAGGUAAGUAUGUAGUUAAAUACUUUGCUGAUCAUGGUCUUAAUGAGCAACAUCCCUUAGCACAAUUGCACCUUUUUCUCUCCAGCUAAACUAAUAGUAAAAAUUUACUGUAGUUUAGAGUCUAAUAUGCCUCAUUCUCUUGACAUGAAAUCUACUGCCACUUGCAGUAGAUUUCAUGUCCCCAAUGGGCUUCUUCAAAUAGGAUGCUUUCCAAUUGCAACCCUUACAAAAUGUGAAAUGUUGGCAAUGAAUCUGCCCCUUGCAAAGAAAGGCCGUGGGCCUGAUUUUGAUCUCAUGCUGAUGUCAGUCAGGAGUAAUCCCAGUGAAGUCAGUGGUGUUGAGAUAAGAAUCAGGCCUAUGGUUCUCGCUAAUAAGACAGAGCCCUUUUCUCCCCACAGUUACACCAGUGAAAUUCCACUGACUUCAGUGAAGUUAUGUGACUUACAUCAAUUAAAGGAAUGGGAGAGUCAAACCCAAGGAUUCCCAGGUGGUUUCCCCAACAAAUAAAAAAAAACACAAGUUUUUUGGUGUCCCAAUUUGCCGAUUCAUCAAAAACAAAACAUUCCGUUGAGAUGGUUCGAGUUUGACAAAUAGAACCUUGCCUGCUAGGACCACUCCCCACUCAACAACUGGAGUAUCAACCUUUGAACUGUUCAGAGGACACCAGGCCAAUACACAGCUUACUACCUGUCAGGCUCACAUGUUCUUCCUUUUCAAUUAAACCUUCCGAUGAAACUAUUUGUGAAUGUGUUAAGAAUAAACAGCAGAAAUACAGACAGUAUGUAGAUGAUAAAAAAGGUGCUAAACCUCACAAGUUUCAAAUUGUAGAUUGUGUGAAGCUACCACACAGAGUUAAAAAGGACAUUCAAGAUAUUCAUGUGCUUUGCAGAUAGCAGAAAGCCAAUGAGAUUCUGCUGUGUUAAUAGAUAGAAAGAAAUGGAACAUUUCAAGAUUGUCCACAGCUCAUCAGCCAGCAGCUGAAGAAUAGAGUGCUAAUUUUCCACCUUGGACCAGAGAACAUCAAUGACACUACUAUAGAUUUGUCCAUUAUUAUUAUUGGGAAGAAUUGCUCCACUGCUUGGUCUUGUUCCUGCCUUUCUAGGUAUUAGGAGAAGCGUGAGACAAAGAUUGGAAGACUUUGCUAGCAGACUCAAGUCAUGGUUUGGAAACAACUGUUUAAAGUUUUACAAUGGUUAUUAUUAAGGGAAAGGCUGAGUUGUAUCUACCUAGAUGCAGAUAGCUACCCUAGUUUGUGUUUGUAAGUUGUUCCUAAUUUGUUCCCGUGGCCUUGAAACCAGGAAUUACAAUUCCCAGGAUGCACUGGGGAGGAAGAGAAGAAAGAGGAAAAAGGAAGACUGAGCUCUAUGAAAGUGUGAGGGUAAUAACGUUGCCUUUGCUGUUAUCAAGGUUCCUGAAUCUUCCUCAAAGAGGUUCAGUGCAAAAUUGGUAUUUCCUUGCUUUGCAUUGGAGGAAUAUCACAGUUAACCAACUUCAGUCCCUUUUAAAUAAAGUUUUUUGUUUAUGGACUAUAACAAUGUACUGGAACAAAUGCACUAGGUUUACAUUAGAGAAUCUCCCUUCAUGAAUUCUCCGAAUGGCCUCCUGAAACGAGGAACUGACAAAAGAUUAAGGGUAUUUUAUAAGAUCAGAACACUUCCCCUGAGUUUUUUUUAAGUAAAACAUUUAAUGGAACAUUUUGGGUCUGAAAACAUAGUUCUGCAUGUAAAAGAGGGAGAGAAUUAAAGGAGAAGUAAAAGGAAACAGUGAAACCAUAAUUAAAAAAAAAUAGGAUGCCAAAAUAAAGGAAGAAGGAACUGGUGGCAAAAUAAGAUGUAUAGAUAUUGUGGGCCUUUUUCUGCUCUGACUCAUGCUGAUUUUACACCUCUAACCAGGGGUGAAAGUAACUUAAAGGACUUACUGGUACACCAGAGUCCAGAGCAUGGGGGCGAGCCCUCAUCCAGAAUAGGCGGGGCCUCAACCAGAAAAGGCGUGGCCUUUAAAUCCCCGGGCCCUUUAAAUCGGCUCCCGGCUGCCGCUGCUACCCUCGGGCUCUGGCAGCGGGGCUCUGGCGGCGAUUUAAAGGGCCAGGGGCUCUGCUGUGGUAGCGGGAACCCCGGGCCCUUUAAAUCACUGCUGGAGCCCCCGGCCACCGCCGCUACCCUGGGGCUGUGACAGUGUGGCUCUGGCGGUGAUUUAAAGGGCCAGGGCUCUGGCUGCUGCGGGGAGCCCCAGGUCCUUUAAAUCGCCACCCGAGCCCUGGGGCUUCUGGCUGCCACUGUGACCCCAGGGCUCCGGCAGCGGGGCUCUGACUGUGAUUUAAAGGGCCAGGGCUCCUCUGCAGUAGCGGUGGUGGGAGCCCCAGGCCCUUUAAAUCGCCAGCCUGGGGAAGCUGCCCCCUGCCGAUACGGUCAGCGGUGUACCAGCUCUUGCCGGUACACCGUCCCAGACCAUACUGGCUUACUUUCACCUCUGCCUCUAACUCAAUCAGUUUGGUCAGAUUGCAUCCUCUUAUGGGUGAAUUUUGGCCCAUGGAGUCUGAAGGGAGGUUGUUGCUUUGCUACUUGUUACAAGGCACAGUAGUCUGUAUGUAAUAACUCAUUAAGCAGCACUAACUUGGAAGUCUAUAUUUGUUUUUUAAAAAUGGCCUCAAUAUUUUGGCUACAAUUUGUUGCAUGUGCAAUUGUGCUCUUUGUCCUGACUAUCUAAAGGCAUCUACAAAGCAAGCAGUUACCCAUCUAAAUCCGUAUAAACAUGGGCACAAUUAUGCCUGCAGUUUUGCACCCAUACUUAAUUAUUACUGAAGGAUAAAAACUGUGCCUGCAAAACUGGAAACGAUGUUGAGGCUUAGAUAAAAACAAGGCAUAUUUUAUCAGACACAGUAUAAAAUAAAAUGUUAGGAAUUAUAUAUAGUUUUAGCAUCUUUUGUAUUAGGUCUUAGCUAUUAGUUCAAAUUAUGACCAUACCUACCCAGGUCAGGGUGGAUAGUGAAUCAGAUUUUCUAUAAGUAAUUUUUAAUCACUUAUGUGUUUGGUGACAACAAAUAUUUUAGAACUAAUCAUAAAACAAACUUAACUGCUUCCGAUCCACAGGGGCAUGAUUAAACUGGGGGUAAUAACUCCUCAAAUUGCCUUGCUGUGGUUAUAACAUGCUGAGAAAGAGCUAAGUAGGAGCCUCACAUAAAUUACUCUACCUUGUAAAAUGUUUACCAGCAAACAGUUUUGCAGCCAGCAAUGCAGUAAGCAUAAAAAAGCAGGUAAUGCAACAUUUAUAUCUAUGAUUAUAUUAAAAGCAAAUUAAUUAUAUUUAAGCAAACAUUUGUAAAAUUUGCUCAGAGCAUUGUUAAAUGUAACCUUUAACAUUGUCUAAAAUUGUAAUGAUGCACUAUAGCGAGUCCAGGCACUCAAAUUCCCUAUUCCUUGCCCAUUACCCCCUCUCAGCCCACUGUGAGAAGAACACGUUAAAGCACUAUUAAAAAGAUCAGAUAAAAACUCUACUUGUCUUGACUGGUGUUGAUGGACAAAGGCAUUAUGUAGUUAUGGUUUUCUAUCAACUUCCCUUGAUAGUCCCUGAGGGGUACAAUCUCAUCACUGUUUUUCUAAUCCUGUGAUGAAACGUGUCCAACUGCAGAAUCAAAUCUCAUAAAGUCAGAGUUAUUAACACAGGAAUUCCUCAAAUACCAGUUUAUAUAUUUCCAGUACUUAUCAAGAACUUUGCAUUUAAAACUAGCCCAUGUACCUAAAGUUCAGUUCAAACACUUAUCACCAUUAGUAGAAUAGUUACAAAACUGCUGUUCAUCAGCAACAAACAACCUCUCUGAUAAUGCUUCCACCACCACCAGGCAGGAGCCAAGCCUUUUCUACCUUCAAGACAUCAGACUGCAGUUACUAUUAAUUCCUUACUAUUUAGGGUGUGAUUUUCAGAAUGUGUGUGCAUGCCCAAAGCUAUGUACAGACGCUCCUCGACUUAUGCAAGUGUUCCAUUCCAGAACGCCUUGCGUAAGUCAAAUUUUGUGUAAGUCGGGAACGUAUACCAGACAAUUACGCCAAAAAAAAAAAAAAGA